GGGGGGACAGCCAGGAGGGAUCUCACUAUCUUCCUGGCGGGUGGAAGCUGGGGAGUGGGGGUUGGGUUGGAAUGGGAAGGGAAGAAAGGUGUUCUUAUGGUCUUCCAAAAUGUUUUUCUUUUUCACGGAUGCUAUGACUAAAUUGUACCAUUUGUAACAUAAAACCAUGUACCAAACUGUGCCUUUGUACAGUACCAGUCAAAAGUUUGGACACACCUACACAUUCAAGGGUUUUUCUUUUCUUUUUGCUAUUUUCUCCAAAUACCAAGUCCAUAUUAUGGCAAGAACAGCUCAAAUAGGCAACGAGAAAUGACAGUACAUCAUUACUUAAAGACUUUCAGUCAAUCUGAAAAAUGUCAAGAACUUUGAUGGUUUUUGCGACUGCACUUGAAGAAACUAUCAAGCGUUAGGAUGAAACUGGCUCUCAUGAGGACCGCCACAGGAAAGGAAGACCCAGAAUUACCUCUGCUGCACAGGAUAAAUUCAUUAGAGUUAACUGCACCUCAGAUUGCAGCCAAAAUAAGUGCUUCACAGACUUCAAGUAACAGACACAUCUCAACAUCAACUGUUCAGAGGAGACUGCGUGAAUCAGACAUUCAUGGUCAAAUUGCUGCAAAGAAACCCCUCCUAAAGGACCCCAAUAAGAAGAAGAGACUUGCUUGGGCCAAGAAACAUGAGCAAUGGACAUUCGAUCGGUGGAAAUCUGUCCUUUGGUCUGAUGAGUCCAAAUUUGAGACUGUUGGUUCCAACCGCUGUGUCUUUGUGAGACGCAGAGUAGGUGAACGGAUGAUCUCCGCAUGUGUAGUUGCCACGUGAAGCAUGGAGGAGGUGUGUUGGUGCUUUGCUGGUGACACUGUCUGUGAUUUAUUUAGAAUUCAAGGCACUCUUAGCCAGCAUGGCUACCACAGCAUUCUGCAGCGAUACGCCAUCCCAUCUGGUUUGUCCUUAGUAGGACUACAAUUUAUUUUUCAACAGGACAAUGACCCAACACACCACCAGGCUGUGGAAGGGCUAUUUUACCAAGAAGGAGAGUGAUGGAGUGCUGCACCAGAUGACUUGGCCUCCCCAAUCACCCAACCUCAACCCAAUUGAGAUGGUUUGGGAUGAGUUGGACUGCAGAGUGAAGGAAAAGCAGCCAACAAGUGCUCAGCAGAUGCGGGAACUCCUUCAAGACAGUUGGAAAAGCAUUCCAGGUGAAGCUGGUUGAGAGAAUGCCAAGAGUGUGCAAAGCUGCCAUCAAGGCAAAGGUUGGCUACUUUGAACAAUUUAAAAUGUGUUUUAACACUUUUUGGUUACUACAUGAUUCCAUAUGUGUUAUUUCAUAUUUUUGAUGUCUUCAUUAUUAUUUUACAAUGUAGAAAACAGUAAAAAUAAAGAUAAGCCCUUGAAUGAGUAGGUGUGUCCAAACUUUUGACUGGUACUGUAUACUCUGAUGUUUCUCAUGAUUGGUAUCAAUAAAAUACAUUACAUUUUACAUUUAAGUCAUUUAGCAGACGCUCUUAUCCAGAGUGACUUACAAAUUGGUGCAUUCACCUUAUGAUAUAUUUAAACACAAAAGAAUUACUGAGGUAAGGAGACAGUAUAUCUUUCAAACAUAAGCUGUCAGACUAUUAUUAUAUGUAACUUGUACAUUUCUCCCUUGGGGAACAUGGAAUUGUGUCUGCCAAGACAUUCCUCAAUGCAUAGGCUAUCCUUUUGCUGGUUUUGCUGAUGGAAUUGAGAGAUAUUUGCCAGAGGGACAUUAUCAUCAAGUAAGUGGUAUUUAUAUUGUCAUCUAGAUCCAGGUGCUUCUGUAAACUGUGUUUUCAGUGCUACUGUAGCAUCCCUAUAUGGCCCCACACAGAUUGGUUGUGAAAUUCGGGUGUACAUGCAUUGUAAUACCAAUGCGUAUCCCAACGGUGGAGAGGACACUCUAUUCUCAACAUCCGUUGUAAUAAUUCCUUACACACACAGAGAGAGAUUUGUUAGGGCAACAAGUGCAGUCUUUCCCAACUCCGGUCCUCGAGUACCCUCAACAGUACAUAUUUUAGUUGUGGCCCCUGACAAGCACACCUGAUUCUAAUUGUAAUUUAAUCAUCAAGCCCUUGACCAUUUGAAUCAGGUGUUUUUGGCACUAAAACUAAAAUGUGUGCUGUUGGGGGUAUUCAAGGACCAGAGUUGGGAAACACUGGCCUAGUGGUUACAGUGUUGGGCCAGUAACCAAAAGGUCACUGGUUCAAAUCCCCAAGCUGAAAAGGUAAAAAUCUGUACAGUAGAUGUGCCCUUGAGUAAGGAACUGAGCACUGUACAGAAAGCUGCUGUAGGUCACUACAGAGUACUGACUCUCUCGAGGAAGCAAUGGCUAAUUAUGUUGAGUUCCAAAAGUAUUGGGACAGUCACACAUUGUUUGGGCUCUGUACUCCAGCACUUUCAAUUUGAAAUUACACAGAAACUGCAGACUGUCAGCUUUAAUUUGAGGGUAUUUUCAUCCAUAUCGAGUGAAGCGUUUAGAAAUUACAACACUUUUUGUACAUAGUCCCCCCCCCCCCCAUUUUAGGGGAUCAAAAGUAUUGGGACAAAUUCACUUGUGUAUUAAAGUAGUCAAAAGUUUAGUAUUUGGUCCCAUAUUCAUAGCACUCAAUGAUUACAUCAAGUUUGUGACUCUACAAACGUUUUGGAUGCAUUUGUUGUUUGUUUUGGUUGUGUUUCAGAUUAUUUUGUGCCCAAUAGAAAUGAAUGAUAAUGUAUUGUGUCCUUUUUGGAGUCACUUUUAUGUAAAUAACAAUAUAAUAGUUUUCUAAAGACUUCUACAUUAAUGUGGAUGCUACCAUGAUUAUGGAUAGUCCUGAAUGAAUCGUGAGUAAUGGUGAGUGAGAAAGUUACAGCUGCACAAAUAUCAUACCCCCCCCCCCAAAAAAAUGCAGGACAAAGUAAAAAAUAAAUAACAAUAAUCCCUGUCCCAAUACUUUUGGUGCUCACUGUAUAUCACCACAUAUACAAGCUCAGUCAAGGGUGAAAAUCACACACACAAAAAUCAACAAGCAAAAGUUUGUUUCUUUGUGACAUUUGGUAAAAUAGUUUAGUUUUGCCAGAACCAUUGCACAUCUGUUUUUGAGCAAACACACUCAUCAAAACAUUGGUUGUCCAGUUCUGUCAAACUUGUGGUAAAUCCGAAUUCCAACACCAAUGUGUACGAACGGGGUCUAUGGAAGUGUACCACAGCCUUUGCAGAGAGGUCUGGACCUUUAUGGCACAGAACAUCAGGAGUGGAGGAACACCCUUGUCGAACCCCAGGCCCAGAACAGGCUUCUGGCAGACCUUGAAAGACAUAACUCCUGAAUGGGAGUGGACCUGAGGUUUACGGCUUAGCUGCUCUACCCAAUUACACAGGAAUUGGAGAGGCUAAACAAAACACAGUGGAGUUUUUACUAUGCCACUGGGGGCUGUGUGUGUGUGUUUGAG
rnacentral:lncRNA from 1 species